UAUGAACGCUGGCGGCGUGCCUAAUACAUGCAAGUCGAGCGAACAGAUAAGGAGCUUGCUCCUUUGACGUUAGCGGCGGACGGGUGAGUAACACGUGGGUAACCUACCUAUAAGACUGGGAUAACUUCGGGAAACCGGAGCUAAUACCGGAUAAUAUUUCGAACCGCAUGGUUCGAUAGUGAAAGAUGGUUUUGCUAUCACUUAUAGAUGGACCCGCGCCGUAUUAGCUAGUUGGUAAGGUAACGGCUUACCAAGGCGACGAUACGUAGCCGACCUGAGAGGGUGAUCGGCCACACUGGAACUGAGACACGGUCCAGACUCCUACGGGAGGCAGCAGUAGGGAAUCUUCCGCAAUGGGCGAAAGCCUGACGGAGCAACGCCGCGUGAGUGAUGAAGGUCUUCGGAUCGUAAAACUCUGUUAUUAGGGAAGAACAUACGUGUAAGUAACUGUGCACGUCUUGACGGUACCUAAUCAGAAAGCCACGGCUAACUACGUG
rnacentral:rRNA from 1 species